rnacentral:rRNA from 1 species
UACGGAGGAUGCGAGCGUUAUCCGGAUUUAUUGGGUUUAAAGGGUGCGUAGGCGGGAUGCCAAGUCAGCGGUAAAAAUGCGGGGCUCAACCCCGUCCGGCCGUUGAAACUGGGGGCCUUGAGUGGGCGAGAGGAAGGCGGAAUGCGUGGUGUAGCGGUGAAAUGCAUAGAUAUCACGCAGAACCCCGAUUGCGAAGGCAGCCUUCCGGCGCCCUACUGACGCUGAGGCACGAAAGUGCGGGGAUCGAACAGG